rnacentral:lncRNA from 1 species
CAGGAGCGGAACGGCCCGAGUCCUCCCGCCAGCAUUUAUACUGCGCUAUUUUAGUCGCGCGCUCUGAUUGGCCAGCCAUGGUGACGACACGCCUGGACGCCGAAAGGUGGAGGAGAGAUUGGGCGGAUGUGGGCUUCCGGCUGCCGGAAAGUGAGCUUGGCUGGAGCAACCCUGGCAUAGGUCUCGGCACCAGCUCAUUCACUCCAGAAACCACUCGGAAGACUUAGACAGGAGGCUUGCUUGCUUGAGUUCUUGAGUUGGAGGUUGGCGUAGAUAAAACAGUAAAAUUCAAUCUCAAAAACAAAUAAGUUAAAUAAACAGAAAGAGAAGAGAAGGAAGAAGGAAAGGAGAAAACAGAAAGAAAGAAGGGAAAGGAAGCCAAGGAUGUAUUGUGGCCCAGUUGGUAGAGUGGAGCUCAAAUGGAAAACCCAACUUUCUCAAAGCUGAAAGCAACUGUGUUAUGCAGACAAUACAAAAAUUUGUGAGUGAUUUUCACUUUAGUUUGUUUCAGACUUCGGUGUUAUGAACAAUAUAAGGUUUGAUGAUUUAAAAAAAUGUAUUGAAACAGUUUUUAUAAGAAGUAUCCAGGUCCACUUGAAAUACCUCCAUGGAGCUGGGGAAAUAACUCCCGGGUCCAUUGCUCGCCUAAGAUGGAAGAGGCCCUAUGUUCAAUCCUUGACACCAAAGUUUGAAUACGGCACUGAGACAUUAUGAACUUUACAAGUGUGGGAACCUACUAAAAGUUAUACUCAACCCUGGAUGCCAUCCAAAGCACAACUGAAGACUAAGGUAUUUCUUAAUCUACAAACGAAAUGCUCCCUCCCCAGCGCCUCUGCGCUUAUCAUCCCAUCGAUGAAAUUAUGGGAUGACUUUUGCCCAAAUUAUUCAAGCUUCUGACCUUAGAAUCCGACAUUUUUACAAUGCUCUGUUAUGACUGUAUAGAUUCUGUAGUUCACUAGACCAGAUAACAGUGUGCCCUGUAAUGAGGCUCUGCCUUAUCUUGAAAAAUGCAAACACAACAAAUAGGCAUGGAGUUAGAACAUGGACAUUUUAUCUUUUGUUUUUAUUGAGGUCUCCAUGUAUAGACCACCCUGUUCUCUACUCCCGUGCUCAAGAGAUCCUCCUGCUUCAGACACUAAACAGCUGGCGCUCUAGGAGGCUGGAAGCUGACGGCCGCCAUCAGCAUGUGAGGGACCUGCUGGCGCUGGCUUUCCUCCCAAGCUGCUUGCCUAAACUUUGUCCCUUUCUCCUUAUCCGGCUGCAUCUCUCUCACAACAGAAGGGGACUUGGAGUGCACUCUUUAUUGCCCUCAGGAAUGUCAGCUCUUUACUCUCUGACCUCAUCAUACUUUGGACCUCUCUCAGGUUGUUUAUGUACAUCUGAUUCCCAGCCCUUGCACCGGAUGGAAAAUUUAAAUUCAGUAAUAAACUUCCCACAUCUCC